rnacentral:rRNA from 1 species
UACGGAGGGUGCAAGCGUUACUCGGAAUCACUGGGCGUAAAGAGCGCGUAGGCGGGAUAGCAAGUCAGAUGUGAAAUCCUAUGGCUUAACCAUAGAACUGCAUUUGAAACUAUGAGUCUAGAGUGUGGGAGAGGUAGGUGGAAUUCUUGGUGUAGGGGUAAAAUCCGUAGAUAUCAAGAGGAAUACUCAUUGCGAAGGCGACCUACUGGAACAUUACUGACGCUCAUGCACGAAAGCGUGGGGAGCAAACAGG